AUUCUCCCCCAAUCUGUCCGCCUCGUCUCUCCCGUAGCCUGCUAUCAUGGCCUCCCCAAUCCCAACUCUCUUGCCGCCUCUCUCCUCCAAUCCCACUCCCCGGCCUUGAGCUCCACCACCUCCCUUCAAAAUUCAAACAGCGAUGCCGCACCCGCAGGGGUUCCCCAUCCCUUAGACUCGCUGUUUUCUCCUCUACCUCUCAGCAGAUUCAGUUUCUGCUACCUCACUCACCGUCGCCAGUACUGCCGAGUCGCUCGCUCACCGUCGCGGGAAUGAGGAAGCUGCAACCCCUGUCGACGUGCUCGCUCUCACCGUCGUUGGACCGCUUGGAGGUCGCACCCCCUACGGGUGAGCUCGGUCAGGGACUGCGGCGCUGCAUCGACGAGCAAGCGGACAGUUCGUCCCGGUCUGCGCUGCCUUUUCCCCUUCCAACCGAGCACAUCGGCCUCUUCGGACUUGUGCUUUCUAUUCAGUACAGAGAGGCGCCAUGUCUUCCCUCAGCUUGCUGCAAAAAAGUAAGGUCCUUUGCAGUGUUAGUCUCCAUAGAAAAAGUUCUUUUGCGUGCAGUAUGUGUCUUCAUUCGCCUUUCUUUUCAAGUUUUUUUUCUGUUCACAGAAAUAGCAAAAAUAAUGCUUAGUAGGGAUAAACAAGACUUAAAUCAAAUUACAAUAUAAGAAGAAAUUUGUAUUUAUGAGGCCCAAGUCACACCAUGGGGAAUGUAUACCUAGCAAGAUUCAUGGGGCAUCUUGUAGCAACUGAAACAGAUGUUACAUUUUUGAGGCAUGUGAGUAUUUGGAAAAUAUGAUUUAGGCGUGGAAUAAGUGAAACUUUACCUAUGGUUGAUGUGUUCUAUAAAGUAUGGUUCAUCUCCCUGAACAUGAGAAAAAUAUAUCUCUUGGUGCUUAAUUCAAACAAUUGCUAUAGACAUAUGAUCAGAAAUAGGGAUGUGCAAUAUAGAGCACACUUGAAUUUAGAACUUCAGCUUUUUUUGUUUUCUUUAUUUUGUAUGGCCAUCAUGUUGUGGGAUGCUGCUUAUAUGCACAUCUUACAACCUGCUAUCCCUUGAAAGUAUAUCAUGCUCUUGAUGGGCGUAUAUCCUGUAACUGUCAGCCUAGAUCCUCAACAUGGCAUAGCUAUAUAUUUUUUCAGAAUAUGAGGAGUAAGAUCUUUAAAGAAAGAUUCUUUUAGUACAAAUAAAUAUCAGCUGCAGUGAAACCUAUGAUUUGUAAUGCUGAAUGCUCACUUGUUUGAUUUAACUACUGAUCCGCAGUUCAUGAUUGUAGUAUAAUGUAUUCAGUCUGCCAAGUAAGAUUUUUGAAGAAGGAUUUUUUUUGUACUAAUAAAUAUCAAUUGUGGUGAAACCUAUAAUUUGUAAUGCUUUGAAGUUUGAUUGAACUAAUCCUUGAGAAACUGCCAUAGUUUAAGAAUUCAGAAUUGUAUUCAUACUUCUGUUCUCAUGGUCUUCUUUAUUUUGUUGGCUGCAAUUAGUAAAGUUUGCCUUGUUGUUUGUUAGUUCUAUGGGACAAGUGGGUGACUAAUAAUCGAGUGCAGCGAUUCGGUGCCCAGGCUCAUCUGCACCCGACCAUGAAAAAAUUCAUAAAAAAUACCAAAAAGAUUCAAAAAAUUCCAAUUUUUUCCCAUGGUAGACAAUUUAUUGAGUGAGGUUUUCGCUCUAAAUUUUAGCUCAUUUGAACAUCUGAGUAGCUCUCAGCAAAAAAGACAAAUUGGGUCAAAACAGUACGUGAACAGUAAAUUGUUUUACAGACCCCGAAUUUGUCUUUUUUGCCGAGAGUUGCUCAGUUGUCCAAUUGAUUUGAAAAUUGGUCGAACCUCACGUAUCAAAUUGUCUACCAUGAGGAAAAAAAUUGAUUUUUUUGAAUUUUUUUAGCAUUUGUUUUGAUUUUUUUAUUCAACAUGGGUGCAGAUGAGCCCGGGCUUAGAAAAGGAUUUCCCCUAAUAAUCUAAGUACAUUGGAAAAACUGGCCGAGGGGUGUGCUAUUGUCGUGGCGACAAUGUUACGUGUGGAACGCAUAGACCGUGGCCUGCAUACUAGGUUGAGCUACUUUUGAACCGUGUUACUUCACUUUGCUUAAUUUUGGGUGAACGGUGCCGUGGACAAUGAUGGCAAGUGCUUUUGUGAUCCUUGUUCUAACUGAAACCGAGUUUCACUUAUGAAGUGAAAUCUUAAGGUAGUGUAAUGCCAUAUCAAGUUGGUGUGAUCUCUGGGUAAAGUAAAAUGUAAUGGCUUGGAGGCAUGUUGGGUUGCAAAUAGUUGUGCACAUGUCUUAGCUAAAGAUGCAUGUAAUCAUAAUGAAAUGUUCUGUCACUCCAUGUAACUCUGUGAUGUUUGUAGCGUCGUUGAGCAAAGACUUUUGAUAUGGCUAAAUACUAACCUUCUCUCAAUGAAAAUCAUAGUACUACA